rnacentral:rRNA from 1 species
AGUGAACGCUGGCGGCAGGCCUAACACAUGCAAGUCGAACGGCAGCACAGCAGUAGCAAUACUGUGGGUGGCGAGUGGCGGACGGGUGAGGAAUACAUCGGAAUCUGCCUAGUCGUGGGGGAUAACGUAGGGAAACUUACGCUAAUACCGCAUACGACCUACGGGUGAAAGCGGGGGAUCGCAAGACCUCGCGCGAUUAGAUGAGCCGAUGUCCGAUUAGCUAGUUGGCGGGUAAUGGCCACCAAGGCGACGAUCGGUAGCUGGUCUGAGAGGAUGAUCAGCCACACUGGAACUGAGACACGGUCCAGACUCCUACGGGAGGCAGCAGUGGGGAAUAUUGGACAAUGGGCGCAAGCCUGAUCCAGCCAUGCCGCGUGGGUGAAGAAGGCCUCGG